AAGUCGUAACAAGGUUUCCGUAGGUGAACCUGCGGAAGGAUCAUUAACGAGUUAGGGUCUUCUAGGCCCGACCUUCCCAACCCUAUGUUUAUUGAACCUCUGUUGCUUCGGCGGACCCGCCUCACGGCCGCCGGAGGACCGCUGCAAGGCGUCCUCUGGCCAGCGCCCGCCGAUGGCCAACCACUUAAACUCUGAAUGAAUCGUGUCAUAUGUCUAAGUCUAUGAUUAAAUUAAAGCAAAACUUUCAACAACGGAUCUCUUGGUUCUG
rnacentral:misc_RNA from 1 species